UACGUAGGGGGCGAGCGUUGUCCGGAUUUAUUGGGCGUAAAGAGCUCGUAGGCGGUUCGGUAAGUCGGAUGUGAAAUCUCCACGCUCAACGUGGAGGGGCCAUUCGAUACUGCCGUGACUCGAGUCCGGUAGGGGAGUGUGGAAUUCCCGGUGUAGCGGUGAAAUGCGUAGAUAUCGAGAGGAACACCUGCGGCGAAGGCGGGUUGCUGGGCUGACACUGACGCUGAAGCGCGAAAGCUAGGGGAGCGAACGGG
rnacentral:rRNA from 1 species